AAUAGAUACCCGGGUAGUCCACGCCGUAAACGAUGAGUGCUAAGUGUUAGAGGGUUUCCGCCCUUUAGUGCUGCAGCUAACGCAUUAAGCAUUCCGCCUGGGGAGUACGGCCGCAAGGCUGAAACUCAAAGGAAUUGACGGGGGCCCGCACAAGCGGUGGAGCAUGUGGUUUAAUUCGAAGCAACGCGAAGAACCUUACCAGGUCUUGACAUCCUCUGACAACCCUAGAGAUAGGGCUUUCCCCUUCGGGGGACAGAGUGACAGGUGGUGCAUGGUUGUCGUCAGCUCGUGUCGUGAGAUGUUGGGUUAAGUCCCGCAACGAGCGCAACCCUUGAUCUUAGUUGCCAGCAUUCAGUUGGGCACUCUAAGGUGACUGCCGGUGACAAACCGGAGGAAGGUGGGGAUGACGUCAAAUCAUCAUGCCCCUUAUGACCUGGGCUACACACGUGCUACAAUGGAUGGUACAAAGGGCUGCAAACCUGCGAGGGUAAGCGAAUCCCAUAAAGCCAUUCUCAGUUCGGAUUGCAGG
rnacentral:rRNA from 1 species